rnacentral:rRNA from 1 species
AUUGAACGCUGGCGGCAGGCCUAACACAUGCAAGUCGAGCGGAUGAAGGGAGCUUGCUCCUGGAUUCAGCGGCGGACGGGUGAGUAAUGCCUAGGAAUCUGCCUGGUAGUGGGGGAUAACGUCCGGAAACGGGCGCUAAUACCGCAUACGUCCUGAGGGAGAAAGUGGGGGAUCUUCGGACCUCACGCUAUCAGAUGAGCCUAGGUCGGAUUAGCUAGUUGGUGGGGUAAAGGCCUACCAAGGCGACGAUCCGUAACUGGUCUGAGAGGAUGAUCAGUCGCCCUGGAACUGAGACACGGUCCAGACUCCUACGGGAGGCGGCAGUGGGGAAUAGUGGACAAUGGGCGAAAGCCUGAUCCAGACAUGCCGCGUGUGUAAAGAAGGUCGUCGGAUUGUAAAGCACUUUAAGUUGGGAGGAAGGGCAGUAAGUUAGUGACGUACUGUUUUGACGUUACCAACAGAAUAAAGACCGGGUAACUUCGUG